rnacentral:rRNA from 1 species
GACAGCUGAAUGAUAGUCGGGCUGAAGAUCUACUUGACUAGCUGAGAGGAGGUGCAUGGCCGUCGUCAGUUCGUACUGUGAAGCAUCCUGUUAAGUCAGGCAACGAGCGAGACCCACGCCAACAGUUGCCAGCUCGUCCUCCGGGGAUGGUGGGGACACUGUUGGGACCGCCUCUGCUAAAGAGGAGGAAGGAAUGGGCAACGGUAGGUCAGCAUGCCCCGAAUUAUCUGGGCUACACGCGGGCUACAAUGGGUGGGACAAUGGGUAUCGACACCGAAAGGUGAAGGCAAUCUCCUAAACCCAUCCGUAGUUCGGAUUGUGGGCUGCAACUCGCCCACAUGAAGCUGGAAUGCGUAGUAAUCGCGUGUCAUAAUCGCGCGGUGAAUACGUCCCUGCUCCUU